rnacentral:rRNA from 1 species
UACGUAGGCAGCGAGCGUUGUUCGGAGUUACUGGGCGUAAAGGGUGUGUAGGCGGUCCUCUAAGUUUGGUGUGAAAUCUCCCGGCUCAACCGGGAGGGUGCGCCGAAAACUGGGGGGCUAGAGUGCGGGAUGGGUAAGUGGAAUUCCUGGUGUAGCGGUGAAAUGCGUAGAUAUCAGGAGGAACACCUGUGGUGUAGACGGCUUACUGGACCGCAACUGACGCUGAGACGCGAAAGCUAGGGGAGCGAACAGG